rnacentral:lncRNA from 1 species
GCAUCAAGAAAAACUAACUCUUAAACCACAGGAAUCCGAGGGAUGGAGGUCAAAGCCACAGGAAAGGAAGUUUCCCCGAAGAGGCCACUCCCACCCAGUGACUUUCCAGUUCAAGGUGGAGUAGGCGCCAGUUCAUCUCUGCCUUAACCCCGGGACAAGUUUGGGGGCCUCUCUUAGAGCUGGAAAGCAGCGGGGCAGCCGUUCCGCUGGCUUCAGGCAGCGGCUCCGCCUCCAGCUUGGCCGACUCCGGACCGCGCUGGGGGGACCCGGCGCAUCUGCGCAGGGCAAGGGAGGAAAAUUCUUGAAUACGCAGGAUCCAGGAAACGAAACCCAGAGCCCCUGGUGUCCGCGCCAAAGUUUCCUCGCUAGCUUUCACUCAAAGGCGUUUCCUCGCUAGCUUCAGGGGAGGUUGUGUAACACCUGUGCCAUCAGCAAAAGAGUCGAGAGGAACGCAGCCUCCACCUGGCGCCCGGAUUCCCAACAGCCUGAGCCACAGGUGAGAGAGGGCUUUCUCCGCCGCCUCUCCGCCGCGGGGGCGCGGGACCUGCGCACGUUUCUGGGAGCGACCUAGGUGAAGCGAGCUGCCCGUGCGGAGAGGCACAAGGGUCCUUGUGUCCUGUUUGCUCUGUGGGUAGAAGUUGGGGAGGGAAUUCUGAGGGACCUGGAAUGAGCUCG